rnacentral:lncRNA from 1 species
UGUAUGCCCAGCAGUGGGAUUGCUGGGUCAUAAGGUAGUUCUAUUUGAAAACCCACACAAUUUUAAAAGUUGAGAAUUGUGUUCUAUUCAGCAGAUUUUCUGAGGACUUAAGCCUGAAACACAGCCUCUCAGUUCUGAGGGACUGCUCCAAAGAAGUAAGAGAGGAAAGAGGAUUUUCUAAGAAAAAACAAGUGGCCAGAACAUCAGAAGACUACUUUUAGUUAAAGAAGAUCAGACAUCUCAAACUAAUUAAUUUAGUGUGUUUCUACUCAUGGGAAGAUGUAAGAGUCUAGGCUUAUUGAAAUCAUUCCUUUGACAUGUUCCUUAACUACGUAGGAUGAGUAUCCUGUUUUGUUUUGUUUUGUUUUCCAUCCUGAAUCCCCUCAGGGUGCACAGUCAGGGGCAGCUGCAGUGGCUGCUGGUUCGAUGUCUGAGACACUUCCUUUGUUUACGGAUAUGACAGGUAAUAUUUUUCAUCCACAAUAGAUUCUAACACCUGGUAGAUUGAGUCCUAUGGGCUUCAGCAUCUGGCCUGUGAGCCCUUCCCAUCUAAAUCUGAACAUCUUUCUAUCCCUUCUAAGGCAUGUAGCAGGCCUUAUAUCCCAAGGUUUAUAAAGCCAGCAACCAAAUGGGCACAAUCCAUACCAGCAGGAACACUGAGAAUGAAUAAAAAGGACAUUGAGAUUGUGAGAUAUCAGUCCGAUCAUGACUGUUGUUGGACAUCGCUCAUGUGAAUGUUGAGGUUAUCAGGUUGUGCUCUGAUAUGGUUUUUCAUUUGGGAUGCACAAGGGUCAGUCCUUACCCAUUAGAGUCAGGAAUGAAUAUCAUAUGAAAGAUAAAGUUUAUUCUUUCCGUCCAUCACCAGGGGGCGGUGGGUCUCCGGAGAGAAAGGACACCAUGUCUAGAAAGGGAUUAUCAGGUAGGUGAGAGAAGUCAGAAUUUGGGGGGUUUGGGGAUCUUUGACUGGGUUCCCACUAAGGGAAAAUCCUCAACUUUUAAUAACUAUGGCUCCUUAGGUCUAGGAAUAAAACAGACCAUGAUUUUCUGGAGUUAAAGAUUCUCAGGAGGUUUUGUUGACUUAAUUUCACCUUUGUGCAUUCUAUUAAUAGGAACAGGCCAUGGGUGUGUCAAAAAUACUUGUAAAAGGUUCCUCUUAUCUUUCUCACUC